CAGGACUUAAAAUCCUGCGGGACUUAUACUCCCGUACCGGUUCGAUUCCGGUCGCCGGCA
rnacentral:tRNA from 1 species